rnacentral:rRNA from 1 species
CGUAGUGACCUGCGGAGGGAUCAUUACACAAAUAUGAAGGCGGGCUGGAACCUCUCGGGGUUACAGCCUUGCUGAAUUAUUCACCCUUGUCUUUUGCGUACUUCUUGUUUCCUUGGUGGGUUCGCCCACCACUAGGACAAACAUAAACCUUUUGUAAUUGCAAUCAGCGUCAGUAACAAAUUAAUAAUUACAACUUUCAACAACGGAUCUCUUGGUUCUGGCAUCGAUGAAGAACGCAGCGAAAUGCGAUAAGUAGUGUGAAUUGCAGAAUUCAGUGAAUCAUCGAAUCUUUGAACGCACAUUGCGCCCUUUGGUAUUCCAAAGGGCAUGCCUGUUCGAGCGUCAUUUGUACCCUCAAGCUUUGCUUGGUGUUGGGCGUCUUGUCUCUAGCUUUGCUGGAGACUCGCCUUAAAGUAAUUGGCAGCCGGCCUACUGGUUUCGGAGCGCAGCACAAGUCGCACUCUCUAUCAGCAAAGGUCUAGCAUCCAUUAAGCCUUUUUUUCAACUUUUGACCUCGGAUCAGGUAGGGAUACCCGCUGAACUUAAGCAUAU